rnacentral:rRNA from 1 species
GGGUUGUGAGGUUAAGCGACUAAGCGUACACGGUGGAUGCCCUGGCAGUCAGAGGCGAUGAAGGACGUGCUAAUCUGCGAUAAGCGUCGGUAAGGUGAUAUGAACCGUUAUAACCGGCGAUUUCCGAAUGGGGAAACCCAGUGUGUUUCGACACACUAUCAUUAACUGAAUCCAUAGGUUAAUGAGGCGAACCGGGGGAACUGAAACAUCUAAGUACCCCGAGGAAAAGAAAUCAACCGAGAUUCCCCCAGUAGCGGCGAGCGAACGGGGAGCAGCCCAGAGCCUGAAUCAGUGUGUGUGUUAGUGGAAGCGUCUGGAAAGGCGCGCGAUACAGGGUGACAGCCCCGUACACAAAAAUGCACAUGCUGUGAGCUCGAUGAGUAGGGCGGGACACGUGGUAUCCUGUCUGAAUAUGGGGGGACCAUCCUCCAAGGCUAAAUACUCCUGACUGACCGAUAGUGAACCAGUACCGUGAGGGAAAGGCGAAAAGAACCCCGGCGAGGGGAGUGAAAAAGAACCUGAAACCGUGUACGUACAAGCAGUGGGAGCACGCUUAGGCGUGUGACUGCGUACCUUUUGUAUAAUGGGUCAGCGACUUAUAUUCUGUAGCAAGGUUAACCGAAUAGGGGAGCCGAAGGGAAACCGAGUCUUAACUGGGCGUUAAGUUGCAGGGUAUAGACCCGAAACCCGGUGAUCUAGCCAUGGGCAGGUUGAAGGUUGGGUAACACUAACUGGAGGACCGAACCGACUAAUGUUGAAAAAUUAGCGGAUGACUUGUGGCUGGGGGUGAAAGGCCAAUCAAACCGGGAGAUAGCUGGUUCUCCCCGAAAGCUAUUUAGGUAGCGCCUCGUGAAUUCAUCUCCGGGGGUAGAGCACUGUUUCGGCAAGGGGGUCAUCCCGACUUACCAACCCGAUGCAAACUGCGAAUACCGGAGAAUGUUAUCACGGGAGACACACGGCGGGUGCUAACGUCCGUCGUGAAGAGGGAAACAACCCAGACCGCCAGCUAAGGUCCCAAAGUCAUGGUUAAGUGGGAAACGAUGUGGGAAGGCCCAGACAGCCAGGAUGUUGGCUUAGAAGCAGCCAUCAUUUAAAGAAAGCGUAAUAGCUCACUGGUCGAGUCGGCCUGCGCGGAAGAUGUAACGGGGCUAAACCAUGCACCGAAGCUGCGGCAGCGACGCUGAUGCGUUGUUGGGUAGGGGAGCGUUCUGUAAGCCUG